rnacentral:rRNA from 1 species
UACGAAAGGGGCUAGCGUUGCUCGGAUUUACUGGGCGUAAAGGGCGCGUAGGCGGACAGUUUAGUCAGAGGUGAAAGCCCAGGGCUCAACCUUGGAAUUGCCUUUGAUACUGGCUGUCUUGAGUACGGGAGAGGUGAGUGGAACUCCGAGUGUAGAGGUGAAAUUCGUAGAUAUUCGGAAGAACACCAGUGGCGAAGGCGACUCACUGGCCCGUUACUGACGCUGAGGCGCGAAAGCGUGGGGAGCAAACAGG